AACCAAUCAACGCUGAAUUCCCGCCAUGCGGGAAACGGGGGAACCACCAGGCGAUAAGCCUACUUGGGGUGAAUCCGAAGGGGACUGCACCAAUGCAGUUUCACUAGGCAGGGCGACUCUCACCGUCCGAAUCCGACAGCUAACCCCGUAAGCGUAUAGAGAGAGAACUU
rnacentral:sRNA from 2 species